rnacentral:lncRNA from 1 species
UGUAUGUUAACGCUAAGUCAGCCAUGGAUAGAGAGUCAAGAAGAGUAAUUUUAAAUGUUCAAGAGGUCUCAAGGCCCUUGUAAGCCUUUAAAUCUUCAUGCGUGUAUGGAGACUUGGAACAUAGCAGGUAAUUUACCAAAUCAAGAUUGGUUACCAGUGGCAUUUUUCCUGCGAUGCUAAGUCCAUUGCACCAAUACUCUUCGUGAAUUGUAAAGGGGCAAUCACAACCUACUAUUAAUAGUUUUGCUGCAUACUUACGUUUAUCUUCUGACAGCCCUACAGAAAAGAUUUUUUUAAAAAUACAAGAAAUGUGAUCUGGAAACAGAAAUUGUUAUACA